rnacentral:lncRNA from 1 species
UUCUUGUUCGCAGUCUGGCUUGUACCGCAAGUAACAACUUAUUCUAACCCAAACCUCCUUCAAAACGCUAUAGCCCACCGGCAUUGGAUGUAUCUUACAUAGGGACGAUAACGGUUUGGGACAAUAAUGGUAAGACCUUUCGUAUAUUUCUAUUAGCACCUCGUUGAUUAGGUCGAAGAGAAGCAAGUGGUUGCAGUUACCGCCUUCUUCUUCGUUUCUUGAACACUCUGGAUCUUGGAACAUACAUCCUGAGGUUGUUGUCACUUCUUCGUAGGCUAAUGGAUCUAGCGGCUGGUAAUCUAAUUGCCACAUUGAGAGAGAUUCUGGUGCAUUGAAACCUGAGAUCUCGAGAAUGUCUCUUACAUAGUUGAACUUAACUUUAUCUUGUGCAUCUAUAUUGA